GCCUGGAUAGCUCAGUAGGUUAGAGCGUGGCACCGAUCAUGCCAAGGUUGCAGGUUCGAGCCCUGUAUCGGACA